rnacentral:tRNA from 1 species
GCCGCUAGCUCAGUUGGUUAGAGCAGCUGACUCUUAAUCAGCGGGUCCGGGGUUCGAGUCCCUGGCGGCGCACG